CCAACUCCAGAAUGAGAACGCUAGGUCCAUUUAUUGAGUGCUUACUGCCAGGGUGACUGGUGGCUUUCUAAACGAUGGAGGCUCCAUCAGCCUGGAUCUUUAAAUGAAGAUGAUGCAGAGCCCAACACUCUCCACCGACCUGAGAGAGACACGUAGUGAUGAGCAUGAGCCUUCAUGAUGGUCACAGAUGCCGCAGGCUCGACUCUGCAGUUCAGCCUCAGUUCAGCUUCCUGCCCGCCAGGGAGCCAAAUACAUGCACUGUCCCUCCUCCACAUGGACUGUUCAGGUGCCUUCUAGAGGGAGGGCCACGUCUCCAGAGUGACUCUCCUGGUGGGAACAGCACACCCUGCAUCAGUAGCUGCUGGUGACCCUCCCUUCCUGAACUGAUUCCUGCCCAGUGUCCUCGGAGAGCCCUGCUCAGGAUCGCAGCAAGCAGUGAAGACAAGCCCCCUGAGUGCUCUGGACUUGUUUUUCUCAUCGGCAACAAGAGAACCUUGCCAGCUCCACUAUUCAGGUAGCCUCAGAACUGCUAAGCUGAGGUCCAGAGUAUAAAACAUCAGGUGAGGGAGACGUCACUCUGAUGUAGUUCUAACAGCAACCAUUUAUUAAGCUCUUAUUACACACUGGGCACUCUGCCUUAUGAGCCUUCUUUUGCUUAAUCCUUACGAGUGUCUUGCAAAGAAGAUUUGUGCAACCCCAUGUUACAGAAGAGAAAAAUGAGGGUCAGACUUGUCAAAACUUAUACAAAGAGAUCAUAGAGCUGGUAAGUGGUGGGAUCUUAGAGCUGGUAAGGCCCUUCUGUCUGUCCUAAUGCUCUUUUCCUUUGCACAGUACCUCUGAGUAAAGAGAAAUUGAUUCCCCUCAAAAAUGUUUCCAGAUACAAAGAAGGCACUCAUUAUGGAGCCCCAACCAAGCCUUCAGAUGACUGCAGCGCUGGCAGGUAGUUUAACUGUCACAUCGUAAGAGACCCUGAGUUAGAAACACCCAGUAAAUCUGCUCCUAGAUUCCUGACCAGCAGAAACUGUAUGAGAUAAUCAUUGUUCAUUGUUGUUUUAAGCCUAUAAAUUUUGGGAUAGUUUGUUGCCCAGCAGUAGAUAACGAAUACUGCAUCUGUCUACCAUUCAUUCAUCUGACAGACAUCCAUUCAUUAUUUAUUGUGACAAGCCCCAACCUACGUGCUUGGGAUGCAGUAGUGAACACGAUCAGUAUGGUACCUGCCCUGACGGAAAUGAUCAUUUGGCAGGAGAGAUGAACAUUAAGCAAGGAGACAAACAGGUAAAAGAACAUUGAGAGCCAGGAGGCAUCUUCUUUAAAAUUAAUUUGUUGGGGAAGUUGCAGAGGAAACAUUAAACCUGAGUCUUGAAGAUAGAAAGAGCCAGAAGGUUCUGGCAUUUUCCUCCCCACCCGUCUUGAUGUCCUCACUUUUUGGCUGCCUUGAGUUCUUCUGGAAAAUGACACAGGGUGUUAAAGAAACUAGAAAUUGAAAUGAUAGAGAAUUCUUAUUUCUCUUAGGGGCAGAAUCUCCCCUGUGGAGGAAAUGACCUUUGCUGGAUGAAUGCUUUAAAAAUCCCCCUGGGAGAGCUGGUACAGGUCAAAUAGCUCUGCCUAGGAAGGGAAUUAGGGAGAUUUAAGAAGCAGCCAAGGAGAGGGUUGGAGAAGGCUACAAGCUAAAGAAGAAUUUGGGGAGAAAAAAUAUCUAACAGGGAUUUUUAUUCCUUUGUUUCUCAAGUAAUGUGUGGUAAAAUGCUCUUCCUCCCAGUAAAAUCUCUUGCUUUCUGAUGCUUUCUGGAGUAGGUUGGCUUUUUGAAGAUAAGACAAAGGAGAAUAUGCCUUCCUUCAAGACUGACUUCAGGUGAACCCAAGGCUGUUCACAGGAGACCAGCCACUUACAUGUUAAACAAACACAUAAACACAGUGGUGUUAAUCAUAAAAAGAAAAAAUGCUUCUGAUCAUCACUGCAGUUCCGAAAUGGACAGCGGUGCCCCUGAUGCUCGUCAGUGGCAUCAGUGUCACUGCUGACAACUGUACAGAGGUUGCUGAAGGCUGAGGCCCAGGCAGGUGCUGCAGCAGCUGUCAACGCUGCUGGCAUCUGGCACCAUGCCUGGCACUUAGGAGAAGCUCAGGAAAUGUUGGCCGAAUGGGUGACUGAAUGCUCCCUGCGCUGCCGCUGCCUUGUCCUUCAAUGCUCCAGGGAAUGGGGUUCACGGGGUGCAGGGUGUGUAUUGCAGCCCCUUGUUCUGAGAUUCAGGAAUGCCUCCAUUGAGCUGGGCCUGGGACAAUGUCAGUGACAACACAGAAAUGACCACAGAGCUGCCACUUUCUUCUGAAGCUUGCCUGUCUUCUUGAAACAAACCACCUUGUGGACAUUUUUUCCCCCUGGAGUGAGUUCUUUCCCAAGGGCACCUUGGUCUCUUCUAUGAAUAGGCCUCCACUACUCUACUAGCCUUGAGGAGGUGCCUAGACUUUCCUGAAUUUGAGGGUGAACAUGGCUUAGGUUCAAGCAGGAACUUCUGCUACCUACAAUGUUCCCUGGAGAUCUAGACCAAACAUAAGCCCAACAGGGCCUGAUGACCUGAACUGUCCAAUAUGGUAACCAUGAGCUACAUGUGGCUCUUUAAAGUUGUUAAUGAAAAUUAAAUAAAAUUUAAAAUUCAGUUCCUCAGUGGCACUAGCCACAUGUGAAGUGCUUCACAGCCCAUACUGGACAGUGCAGAUUAUAGAUAGAACCUCUCCAACACCACAGUUUUAUUCAACAGACCUGCGUCUAGAGCCAGAGCUCAUAAAAUGGAUUCUGCUAUCAUAGAACUGACCAUUAUGUAUAAACAAGAAAACUAUUCACUAGGGAUAAACAGAAGUCUGUCUCACUCAUGGGUUAGGCACAAAAGUCAGCAUAUAAGGCAAAAAUGGCUUCAUGUCAAAUUUUCCCUUGAAAAAUCCCUUAGGAAAAUGUCACUUUGGAGACAAGCUCUCAGUAAAUUCAAGACUGCAGUACUUCAUCCAGCGUUGGAGCAGAAGAAGAAGGAUCUGAUUUGUAGUUAGGAGCAAUGCACAAGAAAGACCAAUGGUAUCUGUGAACACUGGUGUGACACCGCAGGGAGCUAGCCUUCAACUGUGAGAGACCCAGAAGCACCUGAAGGCACAUCUGAAUCACAUCUGCAUUCUCAGGCUCUCUGCUACUUCCAUGGGAUGACAGGAGGCAAAUUAAGACUGGAGAUUUAAAGUGCCCACCUGGGACUUCCCUGGUGGCGCAGUGGUUAAGAAUCCGCCUGCCAAUGCAGGGGACACGGGUUUGAGCCCUGGUCCGGAAGGUCUCACGUGCC